rnacentral:rRNA from 1 species
AAUCAACGCUGGCGGCGUGCCUAACACAUGCGAGUCGAACGCGAAAGCCCCGCAAGGGGUAAGUAGAGUGGCAAACGGGUGAGUAACACGUGGGUGACCUGCCUUCGAGUGGGGGAUAACGUCCCGAAAGGGACGCUAAUACCGCAUGACAUCCUGCUUUUGAAAAAGCGGAGAUCAAAGCUGGGGAUCGCAAGACCUAGCGCUUGAAGAGGGGCCCGCGCCUGAUUAGCUAGUUGGUGAGGUAACGGCUCACCAAGGCGACGAUCAGUAUCCGGCCUGAGAGGGCGGACGGACACACUGGGACUGAGACACGGCCCAGACUCCUACGGGAGGCAGCAGUGGGGAAUUGUUCGCAAUGGGCGCAAGCCUGACGACGCAACGCCGCGUGGAGGACGAAGAUCUUCGGGUCGUAAACUCCUGUCGAGCGGGACGAACGCUUCGCGGAUGAAUAAUCCGCGGAAUUGACGGUACCGCUAAAGGAAGCCCCGGCUAACUCCGUG